rnacentral:lncRNA from 1 species
CUCUAGGCCCUUUUGUUUUCCACGUAAUUAAUAUUGCCAAUAAUUAAGAAGUUCCGGGUCGAGUCCGAUACCGAUACCAAUAGUAUAUUCACCUGUUCCCUAUUACCUUAUCUGUACGUUCCGCAUCUGACAGGCGCACCAACAAACGGUGUAUUCAGGAUUAAUAUGCUAUAUACACGGGUCAUAAUCACAGGGUUGACACUAAUAAAUUGUCAAAUUGUUACCUAUUGUAGUAUUUUAAUCAGUAAGACUUUCUAAGAUAACAAUACGAAUACUAAAAAUCUGGACUAAAAAUAAGGCGUAUAGGUACAGUUUUCAAUUUGUUAGCGGGCAUGACGUAAAACCGUGAAUCAAAGAAUUCAACUUUAUUUAUAACUAAUAUAGGACAAUGCUGUUGAUUAAAAAAUACUCCAUUCCAGGACCUUUUGUUUUCAAAUAAUUAAUAUUACCAAUAAUUGAUAAGUUCCAGUUCGACGGGUUCAAACAGAAAGAUUUGAAAGCAGAGAAAAC